AAACUGCGAUAAGUAGUGUGAAUUGCAUUUAGUGAAUCAUCGAAUCUUUGAACGCACCUUGCACUCACUGGUAUUCCGGUGAGUACGCCUGUUUCAGUAUCAUUGAAAACACACAAUCAAAACAUUUUCUUUGGUUUGAUUGGCUUUGGGUCUAUCAAAAAGUUUGGCUUGUUUCUUACAAGCCAAGCGGCCUGAAAUAUAUUGUCUGGCUAAUUGCAUCGUUGAUGAUCGCUAUUAGACUUUGGCUUUUUUAUAUGAACUGGAGGUUGAUUAACCAGUUUUAGCUUUAGUCAAAUGGUCAUUGUAAAAAAAAUCUCGAUCUUGGCUAGGUGUUUAUAGCCGAAAAUUUUUUUUUGGCUAUAACCGAAACCAAUAUAAUCACAUUUAGUUAUCGAUCUGAAAUCAGGUGGGACUACCCGCUGAACUUAAGC
rnacentral:misc_RNA from 1 species